CUACGGGGUGCUCCAGCAGGGAAUCUUGCGCAAUGGGCGAAAGCCUGACGCAGCAACGCCGCGUGGGGGAAGAAGGCCUUCGGGUUGUAAACCCCUUUUGCAGGGGAAGACACUGACGGUACCCUGCGAAGAAGCCACGGCUAACUACGUGCCAGCAGCCGCGGUAAUACGUAGGUGGCAAGCGUUGUCCGGAUUUACUGGGCGUAAAGCGCGCGCAGGCGGCUCGUCAAGUCUGGGGUGAAAUCUCCCGGCUCAACCGGGAGGAGUCUCCGGAUACUGGUGAGCUUGAGGGGAGCAGAGGAGAGCGGAAUUCCCGGUGUAGCGGUGAUAUGCGUAGAUAUCGGGAGGAACACCAGUGGCGAAGGCGGCUCUCUAGGCUCUCCCUGACGCUCAGGCGCGAAAGCGUGGGGAGCAAACCGGAUUAGAUACCCCUGUAGUC
rnacentral:rRNA from 1 species